CCACCUUGGGUUCUCUUCCCACUCCCAUCAUGACCCCUUCCCUGCCCCACACCCCCUCCCUCCGCCUUUGUACCCCAUAGCUGCGGCACACGGGGCUGAAUGAGUUCGUUCCACAGGCAAGGAGUGUCUGGGAGUCCCAGGGCACAAGAACACGAAUAUAGUUGUGGCACUCGUCCUAGAGAAGCCAAAAUUCCAGACCUUUCCAGGCCUCAUCUCCAUGCCUGCACCUCCUGCCACAUGCCUCUUACCUUGUUGGGCACCAGCCCCUCCCCUGCCUCCUGGGCUUGAAGAUCGAAGGAGAAAACGUGAUCCCUGCAGGGAGAGGCUGCCUCAAAAUGGAAAUAUAAAUAAUUCAACGACAGGCACAGGCAACGGUAGCCCAAAGUCCAGGAAAAGAUGGAUAUGGUGAAAGCGUGGUAAGACUGCCCUUCCCACUCAUCAGGCACCGCCAACCCCACCCCAGCUGACCCCGGUUGGGCCCCCGCAGUGGGAGGUGUACUCCAGCUUCCUGCCCUCCCUCCCCUCAAACUGAAGCGAGGGGCUGAGUGGCUCCUGAAACCAGGUCGGGUGAGAAUCCUUCCUUUCUGUGAAUAGACAGCUAUCCCUCACCAAUCCUUAGUUGUUCAUCCCACCAUGUCCCCUUAAAGAACAGACCCUGGGUUUCCAAGCCCAGCCCAUUCCAUCUCCCCAAAUCCACUCUUGGAGCCAGGACCCAAGUGUACCCCACCCCCAGUCCAGCGUCACUGGUGGGGAGGUUGACGUCAGAUGGGGUCCCAAGAGGGCUGGAGGAGGGGAAGGGGUAGGAACAUCUAAUGAUGACCCCCUCCCCAGGGGCAGAGCAGUCAGCUAGCUAACGACCCUCUGGUGCUGAAAGGCCAAGCCUCCCUAACCACCCCACCCCCAUCCCCGGAUGCUGGUGCUCCCAGGGGAAGAGAAAGGGACCCAGCCUGUCUCCUAUCCUCCCCCUCCGGCUCCCCCCCCCUCCAAGUUGCCCUGGGCAACUGGUAUCUUCACCCAGGAAACAACUUUGGCCUCUGGCAAGUGGGGAGAACAGCCAGACCCCUCUUCCUGCCCCCAGGCCAGGCCAGUUUCCAUCCCCUGCCUUCAGGAGCUGCUGCCCUUUCCUCACCUGGGGUCGUGACUCCUGUGGGGGUUUGAGGGGGAUAGGAAACCUGUGACCUGAUGGAAGAAGGGACAGGAGGGAAGAGGCUUAGCUAGACUUCCUUACCACAUCCCUUAGAAGUAAAUGUGAAAAUUUAGGAGAAGUCUACUGAAGCUAGGGAAAGGGAUGUGCGGCCCUGGAAAGGUGUGGGUGUGUUGUGAGGUGGCGUGGGGCGGGGUGUUGACAGUGAGCUAGAUUACAGAGGUGCCGGCCGCUUCAAACCCAAAGAUGUGAGGGCAGGGGCAGGGGCUGGCCCCUAGCUGGAAACUCCUGGAACUGAAGGACCAGUCUUGGGGAAAAGGGUGACAGGGAGAGUUUGUGGGGCAUGACGACCACUCCCACAUUAAAACCCUCAGAAUCCAGCAGCCUUCACCGAGAAAGCGCCCUAGCUGGGGACAAUAGAGGCUAAUUUGCAUCUCA